UCGGGAGAAGAAACAAUAACAAGGAUUCCCCUAGUAACGGCGAGUGAAGAGGGAAAAGCUCAAAUUUAAAAUCUGACAGUCUAUGACUGUCCGAGUUGUAAUGUAGAGAAGUGUUUUCCGUGCUGGACCGUGUACAAGUCCUUUGGAACAAGGCGUCAUAGAGGGUGAGAAUCCCGUCUACGACACGGACUACCAGUGCUUUGUGAUACACUCUCAACGAGUCGAGUUGUUUGGGAAUGCAGCUCAAAAUGGGUGGUAAAUUCCAUCUAAAGCUAAAUACAGGCGAAAGACCGAUAGCGAACAAGUACCGUGAGGGAAAGAUGAAAAGCACUUUGGAAAGAGAGUUAAACAGUACGUGAAAUUGUUGAAAGGGAAACGCUUGAAGUCAGUCGCGUCUUCAGAAAUUCAGCCUGGUGACAAGCCUGGUGUACUUUUCUGUUGGACGGGCCAGCAUCAGUUUUGGUCACUAGAUAAAGGUAAGAGGAAGGUGGCACCUCUGGGUGUGUUAUAGCCUCUUGUCGUAUGUGGUGACUGGGACUGAGGACCGCAGCACGCCUUGAUGGCCGGGGUUCGCCCACGUAACGUGCUUAGGAUGCUGGCGUAAUGGCUUUAAACGACCCGUCUUGAAACACGGACCAAGGAGUCUAACAUGCCUGCGAGUAUUUGGGUGGCAAACCCAUAUGCGAAAUGAAAGUGAUCAGUUGGGACUUCUGUCAUGGAAGGCACCGACGCCCGGACCAGACCUAUUGUGAUGGAUCCGAGGUAGAGCAUGUAUGCUGGGACCCGAAAGAUGGUGAACUAUGCCUGAGUAGGGUGAAGCCAGAGGAAACUCUGGUGGAGGCUCGUAGCGAUUCUGACGUGCAAAUCGAUCGUCGAACUUGGGUAUAGGGGCGAAAGACUAAUCGAACCAUCUAUUGUGGC
rnacentral:rRNA from 1 species